rnacentral:rRNA from 1 species
GACGAACGCUGGCGGCGUGCUUAACACAUGCAAGUCGAACGGUGAACUCCGCUUGCGGGGGGAUCAGUGGCGAACGGGUGAGUAACACGUGGGCAACCUGCCCUCAGCUCUGGGAUAACUCCAAGAAAUUGGGGCUAAUACCGGAUAUGACCGCUGACCGCAUGGUCUGGUGGUGGAAAGAUUUAUCGGCUGGGGAUGGGCCCGCGGCCUAUCAGCUUGUUGGUGGGGUAGUGGCCUACCAAGGCGACGACGGGUAGCCGGCCUGAGAGGGUGACCGGCCACACUGGGACUGAGACACGGCCCAGACUCCUACGGGAGGCAGCAGUGGGGAAUAUUGCGCAAUGGGCGAAAGCCUGACGCAGCGACGCCGCGUGGGGGAUGACGGCUUUCGGGUUGUAAACCUCUUUCAGCAGGGACGAAGCGAAAGUGACGGUACCUGCAGAAGAAGCACCGGCCAACUACGUG